UACAGGGGGGGCAAGCGUUGUUCGGAAUUACUGGGCGUAAAGCGCGUGUAGGCGGCCCUGCAAGUCGGGUGUGAAAUCCCACGGCUCAACCGUGGAAGUGCACUCGAAACUGCAGGGCUAGAGUCCUGGAGAGGAAGGUGGAAUGCUUGGUGUAGAGGUGAAAUUCGUAGAUAUCAAGCGGAACACCGGUGGCGAAGGCGGCCUUCUGGACAGUGACUGACGCUGAGACGCGAAAGCGUGGGGAGCAAACAGG
rnacentral:rRNA from 1 species